CGCAAUACAAAUACAUUUAUUAUUUUCCUUGUAGUGCUAGGCCUUUUACAUAGUUACGCGGCUUGCAUGGUUUACCUAACACCUUAUUAAAAACGGAAAAUUAACAUCCAACAAGUUACGUAUAUUUAAUCCCUCGAAAGUUGUUUCUGUUGACGUGCGAUGUCUAGGACCUAUUUAAUGAAAUCCCUCACCGUGAUCGGCUUUCAUGUAGUUAUGUGGCUUGUAU
rnacentral:lncRNA from 1 species